rnacentral:rRNA from 1 species
UACAGAGGUCUCAAGCGUUGUUCGGAUUCAUUGGGCGUAAAGGGCGCGUAGGCGGCCUCCGCAAGUCGACUGUGAAAUCUCCGGGCUUAACCCGGAAAGGUCAGCCGAAACUGCGGGGCUAGAGUGCAGAAGGGGCAACUGGAAUUCUCGGUGUAGCGGUGAAAUGCGUAGAUAUCGAGAGGAACACCUGCGGCGAAGGCGGGUUGCUGGGCUGACACUGACGCUGAAGCGCGAAAGCGUGGGGAGCAAACAGG